GCCUUUACACAUAUUUAAUUAUCAUAAAGUUCUUAAAAUUGUAGAAAUGAAGUGAAAAUAAGAAUUUACUAAGAUAUAUACAUGUGUCUACACAAAGAAAAGGACAUCACACACACACAUAUCUCUUGAUACACACAGAAUACUUUCAACCUAGGAAUGGAUUCAGAAUACAGGACAAAAUUAGACUGCAACACUGAACUCCUGAGUUCUCCAACAAACGCAGGACCACACACAGGUGACUUUGCAAAAGCAAGAAGGUCAUCCUACUAAGGGUCAUAGCAGCACAGAAACUGAGGGCUACAUCUAGGGAGAAGUGCAAACACAAAGACAGUAGUUCAAUGCACACACUCAUGAUUCUCAGUCACUCAACAAUUAUUGGUCAUAUAAAUCAGUGUACAAAUUAAAUGUUCGAAAAUGUGCAAAAAGUCAACAUUGAUAGAAAACAAAAAAUAUUUGUACAUAAUUAUAAACUGCCCAGUAUUCAACUGAGAUUAAAAACAUUUGCUGAAAAUAAUACAUUAAAUAUAAAGAAUUUAAUGGAUACAUUUUAAAUGUACAUUAAGUCAAAGGGUAAAUUUACAAAUUUAUAAUCAUAGUUUGCAAGAUAAAAGUUUAUUUUCAAAUUUAUCCAAGUUUAUUUACAAUGAGUAAAAACAACCACAUAAAAUAUAAGAGAUGUCAGACAUUAAAGGUGUUUUUGGUAUUAACUUUGUUAAGAUAUUUCAGAAUGCAGGCUAAAUUUUAAAACCAACAGCAAUGGAAGAAAUGUAAACCUUUUACUUACUAAUUAUUAAAAAACUGUCUAUAAAGACGUAUUCUCAUCCCUAGACAAUAUGGUUUUAAUUGACAAGGGUUUGGCCCACUUCCUUUUGCCCAUAAGCCUUUCUGGCUUGUAGAGUCCCACACUAGUCUACUCUCCUUACUGCGAGGAGGAAAAAAGUCUUUGGAUAACUGAGAACAUGUCAAAUAUAUUCUGGAGUCAAUGCAUCUACUAGAGUUUAACAUAUAAUUAAUUACUUAUCUUCUGUUCUAAGUGAUGCUAAUGCUAAAAUCAUUGAAUAUACAGGAUUUUUUUAAGUUCUAAAUACAAAUAAACGAAUACAAAGUGCUUUUCAGAAUAGUCAUAAACUUUUCUCAACUGGCAUUACAAGACCCAUAAAUCCUCAGUGGGGGUCAGAUUCUAUAAGGUUUAAAGAAGAGGGAGCAGAUGUUCCAAAUGUUUGUGGCACAAAGCAGACCAGUUCAUAACCUACUUCUCUUCACAGCAGUGUUGAAAGUCCCUUACGUCAAACACAAACUCAUAAAUGUUAAGACACUAGAAAGACGAUGAGCCACCCACAGAGGCAUCAGACGUCAACACAAAUCUCACACCAGGGGUCAAAGGGUGUGGGUGAGCCUGGCACGCUGAAGAACUUAGGUCUGCAGUGUCUAGGAGCUCCACAGUAGCAAGGAUUCUGCAUGUCUAAUGCAGACUCUUAGCACCUGUCCUUUUCCUUAAGGAGAAGAAGAUUGGCAACAAAGUCUACUAGCAUCUGCUCUACCAUUCAGACACUAUUACCUCACACAUGGGCAAAUGUAUCAGGGCUAAUCAUUUUGGCUAUGUAUGCAGGGAAUACAAAAGCUUUGGUUUAAAGUGAUUCUGGCAACACAGACUGAGGUACAAACAAACAUCACCAGGCAGAAGGACAGGAGUCUUCUCUUGUUUAAUGUCUUUGCUGUUGGGAACAGAAUACCUUACCACUGUCUAUUAAAAUACACAAAAACAUGAAGAAUUCUAUGAGACUGUCUCCAGGCAAUGGAUACAACGCAUUCUCUUUUCACUAUAGCUAUGACUCCUCCCUGGUCUUCCUGAAGCUCAGCCAUGACCACUAUCAGUACCUCUGAGAAAAGAAGUCUUGGUUCCCAUGAAAGCUAUCCAUCUCCAGCUCUGACAGCGAGAAUGGAAAGGAGGAUGGCCCAGGUAUUCCCACAGCACGCACAGCAUCCUGUCAGACAAUGGCAGAAGUGGAAGCAGCACUAAAGAUGAGGGUGAAGUGGACAGUGGCUCACAGCACACCUUCCCCAGCAACCAACAAGAGGUAUAAGAACAUUGCCUUUUGAUGGCUUGGUAAACUAAGGAAGCUUGUUUAGAUAAUGUCUGGCAGAAUUUCUACUCCAAAAAGUUCAUGAAGAAAUAUGUAAGAUUCCAUACUUUCUAUUGAAGAAUUAUAUAUAAGCUAAUUACUACAGACACAAACAAACAAAUUGAAUUUUAACCUACUUUUAGCAAUUCAGAGCUUGGCAACUUACAAUAAAUACCUUUAUUAACAAUCAUUCAUACUAGCUACUUAUGGAAAAUGUCCUGGCAUGACUACUUGAGGAUGACCUUUCUCAUCCCAUAUAGUAAAUCAGACAUUUUUCAGUUGUUCUUCCAAGAGGAGAGACAGAUCUAACUGAACAACUACACGUUCCUACCCCUGCCCCUACUAUACACACACACACACACACACACACACACACACACACACACACACACACACACACACACUUCACAACUUCACAGAACAGUAAGCUAGAGUAUUGGUCAAAUGUUACAUACUAAGAAUUAGAGUUUGUUGUCCCUGGAUUCUUGCUCAUCGCCUCAACCUUCAUGAAACACUUAUAGGAGCUCUUUAGGACAAAACAACUGCCCUAGUUCUAGGAAAACCACAACCAAACAAUAAUACACAAAGAACUUGAG
ensembl:lncRNA